rnacentral:rRNA from 1 species
UACGUAGGGACCGAGCGUUGUCCGGAUUCAUUGGGCGUAAAGAGCUCGUAGGCGGCUGUUCAAGUCGAACGUGAAAACUCGGAGCUCAACUCCGAGCCUGCGUUCGAUACUGGACGGCUAGAGUCUGGUAGGGGGAUCUGGAAUUCCUGGUGUAGCGGUGGAAUGCGCAGAUAUCAGGAGGAACACCGGUGGCGAAGGCGGGAUCCUGGGCCAGUACUGACGCUGAGGCACGAAGGCCAGGGGAGCGAACAGG